rnacentral:rRNA from 1 species
AGUUUGGCCUGCCCAAUGGUGAUUUGAAUGGCUGCAGUAUCCUGACUGUACAAAGGUAGCGUAAUAAUUUGUCUUAUAAUUGAAGAAUGGAAUGAAUGGUUCGACAAAGGUGUGGCUGUCUCUUACAUAUUUGUUUGAAGUUAAUUUUCAGGUUAAAAAGCUUGAAUAAAAUUAAAGGACGAGAAGACCCUAUUGAGCUUAAAUUGGCAGUAAUAUUAAUAGAAUAUAGUUUGAAAUUUGUUAUGGAAUUGUAUAGUUUUAGUUGGGGCGACUAAGGAGUAGGCAAAGCUUCCUUUAGUAAUUUGGAAAGUUGUUUAUUGAUCCAAUUAUUUAUGAAUUAAGAUCAAGCUACCAUAGGGAUAACAGCGUUAUCUUUUUUGAGAGUUCUUAUCGAUAGAAAGGAUUGCGACCUCGAUGUUGGAUUAAGAUUUAAUAAAGGUUGUAGAAGCUUUCAUGGUUAGUCUGUUCGA